UUCCAGAUUGGGAUCACCCUGCAGCCCGUGGCACUCCACAGGAACGUGUAUGCGUCCGUGGUGGAGGACAUGAUCCUGAAGGCUACAGAACAGCUGGUGAAUGAUAUCCUGAGACAGGCUUUGGCAGUUGGAUACCAGACAGCUUCUCACAACAGGUAUUACUAUCUCUGCAGUCUGUGGUGUGAGGCUUACACUUCUUUCCUAACAGUUGAAUUGCCCAUGAAGGUGUUUUAUACUUAUAUCAAUCCAGUAGGAGAUGGAGUGAGUGCUUAGGACACUCUUAGAGCCAGAUGAGCUCAAGGGUCUGCUUUGUCAUUUUUAGAGAACCUCAUGGUUGUGAAAGCUCACUCAGCUUUGCUUAGAGGUUUAUAUCCUCCUCAUUACUUCACAGACACCUAGGACUCUGUUUUAUUACAGGGUUGAAUAAAUACUAGCUUUGCAAUUAAAGAUAACAGUGUCCAUUA
rnacentral:sRNA from 1 species